rnacentral:rRNA from 1 species
AUUGAACGCUGGCGGCAGGCCUAACACAUGCAAGUCGAACGGUAACAGGGAUCAGCUUGCUGAUUCGCUGACGAGUGGCGGACGGGUGAGUAAUGUCUGGGAAACUGCCUGAUGGAGGGGGAUAACUACUGGAAACGGUAGCUAAUACCGCAUAACGUCGCAAGACCAAAGAGGGGGACCUUCGGGCCUCUUGCCAUCGGAUGUGCCCAGAUGGGAUUAGCUAGUAGGUGGGGUAACGGCUCACCUAGGCGACGAUCCCUAGCUGGUCUGAGAGGAUGACCAGCCACACUGGAACUGAGACACGGUCCAGACUCCUACGGGAGGCAGCAGUGGGGAAUAUUGCACAAUGGGCGCAAGCCUGAUGCAGCCAUGCCGCGUGUAUGAAGAAGGCCUUCGGGUUGUAAAGUACUUUCAGCGGGGAGGAAGGGAGUAAAGUUAAUACCUUUGCUCAUUGACGCUACCCGCAGAAGAAGCACCGGCUAACUCCGUG